GAGCAGAGCGCUCAGCUGCAGACCAUGUGUAUAAAGGAAUUUAAGAAGUGAUAAAGAUGACCUACUUAAGAUUGGAUCCUGUGGCAGAUUCUAUUCCCAAAGAUGAUUGCGGCAUUCUCUCUUUUCCCCCCAAGGGCUUUCUACAAUGUGACUUUGACUGUUUUCCUACUGAGAGGUGGGGCAUAUGUUCCCUCCCCUUGAUUCUGGGCAGGUUUUGACUACAAUCGAAGUAACGCUAAGUGAAUUCUGAAGCUUGGGUGUAUGAAGUGGUACAGACUUUGCCUUUUGUUUUUGCCUUGGAACUCAGCCAUCAUAACGGGAGGAGGCCCAAACAGCCUGUGAUGAGUGAGGUGCAAGUGGAAAGGAACUGUGGCCGCCAGCCCUCAGCCUUAGCCAAACUCCCAGCUGCCAGCCAGCAGGAACCUGCCAGCCAUAAGUGAGCCAUCUUGAAAGCGCAUCCUUCAGCCCCAGUCAAGCCAUCUCAGCUGGCGCUGUGUGGCACAAAGAUGAACCAUCCUUGUUCAUCCCUACCUACAAUGCAGCAAAACUACAGUGCGUUGUUCCCAGGUUCACCUCUGGGAUGAGAUCUGGACGAGAAUAAUCAUGCCUGCCCCUUCACCUCUGGCCGCACUCUGAGAAGUGCCAAGAAGGUCAUAUCAAAGACCCAGAGGGGAGAGAUGGAGCUAAGUGGUUCCAAACAUUUAGAGCACGGAAUUGAGCUACUUUUUCAAAAUGGAGAAUGCAGAUACACACAGAGGCACACUGGAAAUGCAAUAGAACAACGGCUGCCAAUUUAAAAGCAGAAGUUAAGAAGAGCAAACCCGAAUGUACAGCGAGAGAGCUUCGGGCUGGAUUGGCUCCCGGCAGAAGCGAGACUGGAAAUCUUGGAUUCUGUUGCCUCUUCUCUCCUCUGUGAUGUGGAAGAAGAUGUCAGCACCUGGGUGUGGACUUGGUCAUUAACGCUUAUUUCCCAACCUUUGCCAAGCUGCCUAACUCCCUGGAGUCUUAGUUUUCUCAUGUGUGGGAGACAAUGUGUUCUUUAUCCUGAAGUCAUUGUGAGGACUGAGUGAGAGGAUGUAUGUGGAAGGAAGCACCAAGCGUGGUUCCUGGUAUAUACUAGGUACUCAAUAAAUGUGGACUAGCGUGAAUAUGAACUCCACUCACUUCGUGCCCCCUCAUGCUGGCUGGUCCCCGGUGCUCUGGGCUUCCCAAGUCAUGGCAGUUUUCCCAAAGUGGCCCCUAAAGUCAUGUCAGUCCUUGGGGCCUCAUUACUUAGGUUUCCUGUGCCAUCUGCUCCCUUCCAGUCAUAGAUUCCAUGCUCUGUUCUGACAGAAGCUUGCUUCUGCUGGCUGUCACACUUAAAAAGUGGCGGAUGACCAUUCGAGCGUUAGAUGAUAAUGAUUUAUGAACACCAUCCCUCCAGACAGCAUUUGCAGUAUUACAAGUUUUGCUUUUAUUUUAUUUGUCACUAGGAAGGCACUGAGAACAAAAGGAAACUCUCUCGAAUGGUGGGAUCGAGGCACUGUAGCACAUUUUUUAUGGAGGGGAAGGAGGCUUUUCGCCUGGAAACCUUUCAAAUCACGCCCUAUAAGUAGCUCACGAGUCUCUCUACUCACACUGAUCUCUUCAUCUGCUGAGUUGAACAGUGUCCCCCAAAUUCAUGGCCACCCGGGACCUGUGAAUGUGACCUUAUUUGGAAAUAGGGUCAUUGCAGAUAUACUCAAAUUAAGACGAGGCCAUAUUGGAUUAGGGGGAGCCCUAAAUUCAAUAUGACUGGAGUCUUUAUAAGAAGAGGAAAAUUUGGCCACAGAGAUAUAGACCUACGGGGUAUCAGGCCCUGUGAAGACAGAGUCAGACAUUGGAACGAGGUGUCAAGUCAAGGAUCAACAAGGAUUGCUGACAACCAGCGCAAGACGGAAGAGGCAAGGAAGGACUCUUCCUUAGAGACUUCAGAAGGAACAGGCCCUGCCAACACCUUGACUGUGGACUUCUAGCCUCCAGAACUUUGAGGGAAUAAAUUUCUGUUGUUUCAAGCUGCCCAGUCUGUGGUGCCCCAGGAAACUAACACUGUGACUCAGCAGGCUGUUUGCUGACUGUGCAGGAUUAGCCCAGUGGGUCCGGCAACUGGGAGGGGUCGCAGGGAGAUUUCGAUGGUAGGCAAGUGAUGAUGGAGUGGAGAGCACGAGGUGUGUGCUCUCCAACUGGAGGAAGGGCGUGUGUAGGCUGUGGGGAAGGACAGUAGGACAGAUGUUGCUGAGUGAGUGACUACCUCUGUUUAAAGAGAGAGCGCUUCGCUUUACAAAAGGAAUGCUCUCUUAAAAUACUCCACGUGAGCUAACUUGGCCUUGAAUUUCUAGGAGGGACUGAAGUUCGAAAGGAUCAAUGACAUUUCAAGACACUCUAAGUCUGUUUACAAAACGAAAAAUCUACUCCCCUUCCCAGUUGGGGAUAUUUUUUAUUUUGUAAGUGUCUAUCCUGAUGCUUGUGAAAGUGAGGGCUUCCUGAAAGGCAAGCGAGAGCCCAAGGAGGUUUGGGAGAGUGAAGGGAGGCCGACUUUUUCUCAUUUUUUACAGGGAAAAAAAAAAUCAUACAACUCUGCUAAUUUAAGAAUUUGAGAAUGAUCUCUUUAGACACGAUAAUUUAUUUCUGAAUGUUAAGGAAUGGAAUUUAGCAAGAAGAGCCUAUUGUGUGUCAAAAUAGAGGAGGUCCUUACUCCAUCAUUUGAAAUAGCAGAGAAAAACAUUGUUGUUGAACCAUCUACUCAAUAAACAUUUUCCAAGUGCCUGCUGCAUGGUAGACACUCCAUUGGGCACCCGGGGAGAAAGAUACCAAUAAUCUUGAUCCUGGCCCUCAAUGGCAUUGCGGAGGGGAUACACAGGCUUAUAAAUAUGUAAUAAUAGCAAUACUAAUGCUUCUGAAUGCCCACAAAAUGCCAGGCCCCAGGCCAAAUGCUUUACAGCCAAGAGAGCAUCAUUUAUUCCCCAACAACCCUGGAAGUAGGUUUUGUUACUGGUCCCAUUUUGCAGAUGAGGAAAUAGGCUUGGAGAGGCUGAGAAACUUGUCUAGUGUCAUUCAACUAACGAGGUGGGGAAGCUGCAAUUCACACCUGGGGCUGGGGCCCUAAAGGCUCCCCUCUUCACCACUUUGAGUGGCUGAGAUGUAGGUGUUGCAUGGCCUCAAGAGUCAGACUCCCUGGGAUUGACUCUCAUACCCAUCUGCUGCUAAUUGUGCCCUUGAACACAUUACCUCACUGCUUGGCUCCUCAGAGGAGGCUAAUGGCAGUACCCGCCUUGUAGGGUUGUCGUGAGAACUAAAUGAUCUCAUAUGAGCAAAGUGUUCAAUGCAGCACCUGACACGAUGGGGACCGUCAUGAAACAUCAGUUUUUGUUACUACAUGCUGGUGGGGCUACCGUGGGGGUGUAACCGGAGAGCUGAGGAGCAAGAGGAGCGCCCAGAUGAGGCUCUGCCCCCUCCUGCGUGGAGCUUUGGGUCUGGUCCAGGCUUGGAUCUCUUUUGAGUUCAAAGGGAGACUUGUGUGUGAGGGAAGCUUUGGGACUGUGGGUGGUGGGGGAGGCGAGGAGCAAACACCAGGGGAUUGACUUUCACAGAAUCUCAUUUAAAAAGUGAUAGCUAGUGGUUUCAGUCUAUUUAAGUGUAUUCCGCCAUAGUAUUUGCCAUAUCGACCACAAUCAAGGAGGUGGGAGUGGAGGUGUACAGGAAAGUUCCCUAGGCAAAAGUUCCUCCAGUUUGAGUAGGUUAGGGAAUUAAGGGUCUUUUCCAAAUACAAGUGCAUUUGGGAGCAGUAGGACAGUUGCUUCUGCUAGUUGGGAAUGUUUUACCUCAGAUCAUUUGAACACAUGAGUACCAGCAGAAAGCUGGGUUCUGAGAAAAUGGCAGGUAAAUUUACAGGAUAGGUAAAUUGAUGGGGACUGGGGUGAGUCUAAAGCUACCUGGUCCUGGUGGCAUUUUGAAGUGCAGAGGCUUGAACUUGAAUCGAGGGCUUGGCUAACCCCUAUGGAACCUUCAAACUUUGGCUCAAAUAUCACCUCCUCUAGGAAGCCUUCUCUGAUCCCCCCAGAGCUCCUCAUCUGUGCUCUCCUCCCACAAUCUGAACACCUCGAGUGCCGUGCUCGCGGUCCUUUGUUGGAGUGAUUCCUUGAGGAGGCGGCUCUCUUACUCCACCCCCCGUCGUACUUCUAUCAGCUUGGAAGCAGCACAUGACUGGAAAAACCGCAAACCUUUCUUGGAAGCAAAGUAAACCUGGCUGGCCUGGGUUCAGGAGAGGGAAGAGACAUUGAUUCAUCUUUCCUACCGUCCAAAAAAAGAAGAAGGAGAUCAAUGGAGCUUUGGCAAGAUCCGCUGGGAGGAGAAUCUGCACUGUCAAGGCCAACAGGGCCACCCAUUAUCUCCUUAACACGCUCUUCCAACAUGGUGGGCAAUUGGGGAAUUUUACACAAACGCUUCAGAUCAGCUGUAUUGUCUGGGGCCAGCUCUACCACCUGUGCCUGAGAUGUUGAAAAUGAUUCUUCUAAAUAUCUUCUCAGGCAGCUUUGGGAUGAUUUCCAACUUGAGAAAAGAAGUUGAGUGUAGAAAAUUGCCUUCUUCUUCUUCUUUUUUUUUUAAGGACAUACUAUUCCACGUUGGCGUAGACAGGCUGUAAAGGUAUAGAUUUUGUUUGAAAUUUCUCUUCAGUGGAGAAGAGCAUCCUUGCUCUGUGUUGGCAGAAAGAGUCCUUUCCUUAAUCUAAGCCAAGGCACAGCCACAAAGCCGGCCGACAGGGCUCACCCCUCUUUGCAGAUGGCUUCCUCCUCUGACUUGUUACUGUCACCUGAUUCUUUGAUGGAGACUAAAAAAAAAAAAAAGCCUGAAUGAAUUGGAGCUUUGGAGCCCCCACAUGGUGAACCACUAUAAGGGGGUACACAAUGCAGUGGUCGAGAGCGCGGACUCUAGAGUUGGACGGUCCUCUGUUUGAAUCUUAGCUUUGCCACUUACUGGACGUGCCACAUCAGGCCGGGAGGAUCUUGGCAUUUACCCAGAGAAACAUCCUAACUGUCCACAGCGGGGCGUGGUAAAGAACCGACAACGUGUCAGUCACUAGAAGGCGUCUUGGCCCCAGGAAAGCUAAGUAUUUGGAUGAUGAGGCAUAGAGUGGAUUUGGGCUUAUGUCUUUCAUCACUUGGCUGAGUCCUUUGUCAGAUGAAAAGGCAGCAGCUGAGGGCAUUAGUGAAACAAUCGUCGGCCUAAGCUCCCUGUGAGAGCUGCAGACUCAGGUGCAGAGGGCUGGCGGUCCAGGUGUGGGCUGGCUACGGCGGCAGCGAGCCUCAUCAACAUAGACCCACUGUGCUCGGAGUCCAUCUCCCGCUGGCCGUGGCCAAGAUGCAUCCUGGCUGCAUGCAGCCCCAGGGAAGGAUCCUCCAAAAGCAACAGGCCUUGGUCAGCAGUGAGCCAAGGAGGGACAAGCGAAGCAAAGAGGCCCCGGCAGGCCCCUGGUGACAGGGUUAUCUGGAGAGUCACUGACACGUCUCUAGUUGGCAAGAGCCCUUUAUAGAACAAAGACAAGUGAGGGUGAGGAAGCCACGCCUCAGUGUAUUCACAGACGAAGUCCGGCAUCCUGGUAUCACUUAUGUCAUCAGAAGUGCGUAGAUUCCAGGCUGUAGGGCUGUUUUUGUUCAAUAGGUGGAAACAAAGAUUCAUGAACCAUCUUGAAAUUGUUGCUGAAUUCAGGGGCGGAGGACAAUUUGGACUUCUUAUCCGAAGAUGGAACCCCCUGUUGAUUUUGUGGGCUUGGCUGUCUCAACGGCAGGCAGUGCGGGAGUAGAAGCAAGCCAGCGGCGGUGGCCACACCUCCGCUGGGUCGUGCCUUCGCAGCAGGCAUUCCUGCCAAGGUGGGAAAAUCUGAGAUGCUCCCCAGUGGGUGCAAAUAUGUGGGAGAAAAUUUAAUAGAAUUCCCCCCGGGUCCCUCUGGGAAGCGUGCUUCCUGCCUCCCUCUUUGUUUUGUUCUCAUUUUCAGUUCUUCUCCAUCCAACUAAAGUCUUUAUGUUGUUAAAAACGAAAUUAGAACCAAAAGGAAAAGGGGGAGCAGUUGUGGCCAGAGAUAACACUGAAAAAGGCAGCAAUCGGUGGCAGCAUCAGGUUUCCUAGCCAGAGUCAGAAUCCCUCAAAUAAAGAAGCAGAGAAGUCACCAGCAUCUCUGGUGCCUACAGGUGUGUCGGAGUAAAGCAGGGCUGCAGGCCCACGGAGUGGCCUUGAGCUUCCACCACAGGGGUGCCACUCAGACGCCAGGGACAUCCCAGCCUCCCUCCCCUGAACUCCUCCUCCUCUUCCCCUCCUUCAUGGGGGGUGGAGGAGGGCUGGGGGGCUCUGCUGCCCCCUUAGCACCCACCCCCAUGGUGUGAAUGCUCCCUUCCCCCAUUCUGGAAGGAUUUAUGCUCUUUGGAGGAGCAGGUUUUAAAACCAAAAGGGUUUUGGUGAUGUGUAGAACAAAUAAUGAGACCACAGCCUGCCACUUGGUGGAGGCUGGUGUGCUCCACACUUGUUGGCCAACGGGCUGGGGGGUGCAGUGGAGGCUCUGCCUGGGUCCUAAGUGAGUGAAGUAACCUCAGAGGAGUGAGGACCAAAGGGUAUACUGAGGUUUCCCUCACCAAGAGGCAAGUUCUGCAGGGUGAGGCCCUGGCUAAAACCUCUGAAACCCGUGGCGAGGCCUCGAAUUGGAGAGGCUUUUUCUGGUAGAGAGUUGUCCGGCCCACUCGAAUGGGCUCUGUCCAAAAGCCAUCUGAGCACUUGCUUUAAUGCUGACGUAAGGAAGUGAUUAUGACUGGAAACUUGAACUUGGAAUGUGGCCUCUUCAGGCCCUGGGGUACUUCUAGUGCCCCUUACUGGGUAAAAUGGGCUUUCCCAGCUUCAUGGGCAGCCCCACUGUGGAGUGGGGAGAGAAUGUAGCUGGGAAGCGUGAGUGGUAGGCCCAGCUCCGUCGGUCACCACGGUCGGUCACCACCAUGUGACUUGGGACAACUUCACUCAGCAUCUCAGGGCCUCAUAUGAGCCUCUCAACUCUUUCCACCUCACGAAAUUUUAUGUAAUCAAGUGUGUUAUUAAUUUGGUGUACUUCUUUUGCCAUAGUUUAUGUAGACGGGAAGUAGAGUUGUGCUAAAAAGAAACCCAGCGAAGCCAAAACACGCAUACACAAAACCCC
rnacentral:lncRNA from 1 species